AAUUCUCAACUUUGAAGGGACUUUUUGUGUCUUCAAAGCUUGGACCUUGGAGGCCUGCUGGUGUCAUUGCCAGCUCCUCUCAAAUGCAUUAGCGGAACUAUGAGGGACCGGCUUUGGUUUGAUAAUUGUAUCUAUGCCGCUGCUGUGAAUCCUUUCUGUUCAGCUUCUAACGGUCUUCGGACUGUCUCCUUGUGAGGCAUACACUAUUUAA
rnacentral:misc_RNA from 1 species